rnacentral:lncRNA from 1 species
CUUGGACGUGGGACGGAUAGGGCUUGGACUUGGAGCCUGGGUCUCGAGUCUUUUGUAUCGCUUUGGCUGGCCAAAAGACCAUUAAAAAUAUUUUUCUGCCCAUUCAGCAUUCAAUAGAAAUUUACAUCACGUCUGAAAUUUUUACAUACACACACCAAACGCAUGUGUACAGCUAGUCCUUCCUCCUGACAUUUUGUGAUGGGAGGGACUGUCGCGUGGAGCAUGCUAACACUUUUUUGUUGUGGGCUAGCUUAGGUCUUACCUGGCAAAAAAAAAACUAACUGGAGCGGCCUCAAAGUAACAAUAAUAAAAGCUGAGCAGAAGCCACAAGAAAAAGCACAAGAUGUCCUGCAGCAGAAGCCGAGCCAGGAAACUAUGUAUAUUGCCUCAUGGGCAAUUUCAUUGUGCGAUAAACUUACAUAUAUUGAGAUAGUCGGAGCGGAACCCUCGGCAAAUUGGUUUAGCAAGUUUACCCUUUUCAGAGGACUUUACGUAGCCGCCUUCGACUACCCCACAACCGAAACAAAUUGUAGUUUAAGAAGUUGCCGCACCCAGCAAUGCAAGGGCAUGUUGUGUUCAGGGAAAGGGAACAAGCGACAUGUGGCAAAACUAACUGUCUCAAAUGUAAGACAACUCUUAAGAAUUGUUUCUGUAAUAUUUGGGUAUUUUAUAGUCGUACAUUCAAAGCCAUUUUCUCUGUGACUGCCCCACAGGUAGACAAGUGGGAGUGCCCGUCUGGGGAGCUGCACAAUUUACUAAUUACCGCAAUCAAAGUUUACUCUUACAGCUUCAAAAGCACAAAACUGAUAAAUUAUAAAUUAAAGAGAAUCUCAUGAAAAGUUGCCUCUCGCUCUCUGCAGUGUGUUUCCGCGAACUCUUUUGAGUUUAUUCUACUCUCUUUUUGCGUGCAUA